GGUGGUUCAGUGGUAGAACUCUUGCCUUCCAUGUGGGAGACCAGGGUUCCAUUCCCUGCC
rnacentral:tRNA from 1 species